GUGUAGCGUAGCCCGGUAUCGCGCCUGCUUUGGGAGCAGGAGGUCGUAGGUUCGAAUCCUGCCAC
rnacentral:tRNA from 1 species